AUGUUGUUUGAUUUGUCUUUGUUGUUUCGAGUUUUCGAGAGCAAUGAUGAACAACAUGUUAAUCAAUUUGGUUGUGAUGUGACGACUGUUGAAGUUGGCUUGUUUGCAUAUCUUAGAUUGGCCAAGUUUGGGCACAUUGUAAGAACGGGUUGCAAGAGUUUAAAUGUUUCAUUUGAUGCUAUUAUAGACGGUGUCAAUGUGGGUCUCAGCAAUCAACAUUAUUUCAGCUUUAUUCAGAGAGUUGGAAAAAGGCCAAUCAAAAUAAUAAAUUUUGGUUUGUGUGACCUAAAUAAUGGUGGUGAGCAAUGUCUUAAUCCUGCCUUUGUCCAUGCAAUAGCAGUUCCUGAAAUUGAUAUGCAUGUUAGACAGAUCAGACAAGGUUUGUGUCGUGGCUCGUGGUGAUGGUGCAGUUGACGUGAUUAACAUCGAAGCUGAACAUGAUUCUGUAAGGUCAAAAGGUUCUGCAAAACCUCGGAAAGGACCUCAAUCAAGAUCCAAAGACACCUAUCUGGAAAUCCAAGAUCAAAAUGGAAGAAAGAGGUUGCAUUCUUAUCAAGCGGUCAUACUUCUGCUGUGUCUUGCAUGGCAUUCUCGUGAUUGGGGGAAAGAGGAAGAUUUAUAAUUUCAGGCGGAAACGACAAGCUGGUAAAGGUCUGGAAUUGGACCAGGUAUCUUGAUGCAGAACAAACUAGCGGCACUGGUAUUGGGUUUUCAAGGGAAAACACCAAUAUCAAAAUGAUGCAACCUGAGGAGGAUCAUCGGCAUCAUCUAUGCAGUACCUGUGGUGAUGCCAAUGGGGAGGUGUUUGUGGCUUGCCAUGAGUGCCGUUCCCCUAUUUGCAGGGCUUGUUUUGAUGAUGAUGUCAAGGAGGGGCGCAAGGUUUGCUUGCAGUGUGGCACUGCGUAUGAUGAGAAGACACUGGCUGAGCAUGAAACAAAAGUAUCAGGCACUCGAUCAACAAUGGCAUCUCACUUGGAAAAUCCUAAGGAUGUUGGAAUUCAUGCUAGACAUGUCAGCACUGUGUCUACAGUGGAUAGUGAAUUAAAUGAUGAAUCUGGGAAUCCAAUAUGGAAGAAUCGAGUAGAGAGUUGGAAGGAUAAAAAGAGCAAGAAGAAAAAGGAUGCGCCUAAGGCAGAAAAGGUGGCUGAAGUUCCACCUGAGCAGCAAAUGGCAGAGAAUCUUGCCCCAGAAGCUGCGGAACCACUUUCAAUCGUUGUUCCACUUCCAUCUAAUAAAAUCACACCAUACAGAAUUAUAAUAAUCACGCGACUGAUCAUUCUUGGUCUCUUCUUCCAAUAUCGAGUCACACAUCCUGUUGAUAGUGCUUAUGGUCUAUGGCUCACUUCUAUCAUUUGUGAGAUCUGGUUCGCUUUUUCUUGGGUGUUGGAUCAAUUUCCUAAGUGGUCUCCAGUUAGUAGGAUUACAUAUCCUGAAGUUUUAUCGGCCAGAUUCGAAAGAGAGGGUGAACCUUCUCAGCUAGCUCCUGUGGAUUUCUUUGUGAGUACAGUCGAUCCAUUGAAAGAACCACCCUUGAUCACUGCCAACACUGUGCUUUCCAUUCUUGCGGUUGACUACCCUGUGGAGAAAGUUUCCUGCUAUGUGUCUGAUGACGGUGCUGCAAUGCUUUCUUUUGAAUCUCUCGUAGAAACAUCUGAAUUUGCAAGAAGGUGGGUUCCAUUCUGCAAAAAAUUCUCGAUUGAACCACGUGCACCUGAGUUCUACUUCUCACAGAAGAUUGACUACUUGAAGGAUAAAGUGCAACCAUCUUUCGUGAAGGAGCGCAGAGCAAUGAAAAGAGACUAUGAGGAGUUCAAGGUGAGAAUGAAUGCUUUGGUAGCAAAGGCUCAAAAGACACCAGAAGAUGGCUGGACUAUGCAAGAUGGAACACCUUGGCCAGGAAAUAACUCACGUGACCAUCCUGGAAUGAUCCAGGUUUUUCUUGGACACAGCGGUGCCCUUGAUAUUGAGGGAAAUGAGCUUCCUCGGUUGGUUUAUGUCUCCAGAGAGAAAAGACCUGGGUACCAACACCACAAGAAAGCUGGUGCUGAAAAUGCCCUGGUAAGGGUGUCUGCAGUUCUCACAAAUGCCCCAUACAUCCUUAAUCUCGAUUGUGAUCAUUACCUUAACAACAGCCAAGCAAUUCGUGAGGCAAUGUGCUUCUUAAUGGACCCGCAAGUUGGUAGAAAUUUAUGUUAUGUGCAGUUUCCUCAGAGAUUUGAUGGCAUUGAUCGAAGUGACAGAUAUGCCAAUCGCAAUACAGUUUUCUUUGAUGUUAACAUGAAAGGCCUGGAUGGUAUCCAAGGGCCAGUAUAUGUGGGGACAGGUUGUUGCUUCAAUAGGCAGGCACUUUAUGGCUAUAGUCCUCCUUCUAUGCCAAGCUUACCCAAGUCGUCGUCCUCAUCCUGUUCUUGGUGUGGCUGCUUCUCUUGUUGCUGCCCCUCUAAGAAGCAAGAUCUAUCAGAGGUCUACCGCGAUGCAAAAAGAGAGGAGCUUGAUGCUGCUAUAUUCAAUCUCAGGGAAAUUGAUAGCUAUGAUGAGCAUGAGAGGUCAAUGUUGAUGUCCCAGACGAGUUUUGAGAAAACUUUUGGCUUAUCAACUGUAUUUAUAGAGUCUACACUAAUGGAGUAUGGAGGAGUCGCUGAAUCUUCCAACCCAUCAUUAUUGAUCAAGGAGGCAAUUCAUGUCAUUAGCUGUGGUUAUGAAGAGAAGACUGCAUGGGGAAAAGAGAUUGGUUGGAUUUAUGGAUCAGUCACUGAGGAUAUCUUAACGGGUUUCAAGAUGCACUGUCGUGGAUGGAGAUCAGUUUACUGCAUGCCAUUGAGGCCUGCAUUCAAAGGUUCAGCUCCCAUUAAUCUUUCUGAUCGUUUGCACCAAGUUCUCAGGUGGGCACUUGGAUCUGUGGAAAUCUUCCUCAGUAGACAUUGUCCUCUCUGGUACGGGUUUUCAGGAGGCCGCCUUAAAUUGCUUCAGCGCAUGGCAUACAUUAACACCAUUGUUUACCCCUUCACAUCCCUCCCUCUCAUCGCUUAUUGUUCACUACCUGCAAUAUGCCUUCUCACAGGAAAAUUCAUCAUCCCAACACUUUCGAAUCUAGCAAGUGUUCUGUUUCUUGGCCUCUUCAUCUCCAUCAUUCUCACUAGUGUGAUUGAGUUGCGAUGGAGUGGUGUCAGCAUCCAAGACUUGUGGCGUAAUGAGCAGUUCUGGGUCAUAGGAGGUGUUUCAGCCCAUCUCUUUGCUGUCUUCCAAGGUUUUCUUAAGAUGUUAGCUGGUGUGGACACCAACUUCACCGUCACGGCUAAAGCAGCCGAGGAUGCAGAGUUUGGAGAGCUCUAUAUGAUCAAAUGGACUACACUUCUGAUUCCCCCAACUACACUCCUCAUUGUGAACAUGGUUGGUGUUGUUGCUGGAUUUUCUGAUGCACUAAACAAAGGUUAUGAAGCUUGGGGGCCACUAUUUGGCAAGGUUUUCUUUGCCUUCUGGGUGAUUCUUCAUCUCUAUCCAUUCCUCAAAGGUCUAAUGGGACGCCAAAACCGGACUCCAACCAUUGUUGUCAUGUGGUCAAUUCUGUUGGCCUCUGUCUUCUCUCUUGUUUGGGUCAGGAUAAAUCCAUUCGUGAGCAAAAAUGAUAACUCAUCCCUUGCUUCAGGCUGCAUUUCCAUCGACUGUUAAGUCAGUAGCCAUAAACAAAGUUUUCCAUAGUUGUAUGCAUUAUAGUUUUUUGGUUGCGACAGAGGCCAGAGGUGCAAAAGAGAUUCGAAAUCUAGUCUUGGCAAUGAAGGUAAAUGCUCUCUGUCAUUAGAGCUAUAACUCUACGAAUAUUGAGAUUUCUGUGAUUCACAUGUUCAUUUUAUUGUGGAGCUAUCAGACAGAUUACUAUUUUCUUGGUUAGAAAGAUGUGUAAUGUGAAAUUGAUUUUUCUUUUUGGAUUUUGAACUAAGCAUUUGUGGGAGCAAUAUCAAUGUAAAAAGAGAUUGUAAUUGUUCUUCUAAUUCCAUAAUAUGAAUUGACAUGUCUCAUGUGCAUUACU